AAAUCCCCGGGCUCAACCUGGGAACUGCAUUCGAAACUGGCAAGCUAGAGUCUGGUAGAGGGGGGUGGAAUUUCCUGUGUAGCGGUGAAAUGCGUAGAGAUCUGGAGGAAUACCGGUGGCGAAGGCGACCCCCUGGACUGAUACUGACGCUCAGGUGCGAAAGCGUGGGGAGCAAACAGGAUUAGAUACCCUGGUAGUCCACGCCGUAAACGAUGUCAACUUGCAGGUGGUGCCCUUGAGCUCUGGCUUCCGGAGCUAACGCGUUAAGUCGACCGCCUGGGGAGUACGGCCGCAAGGUUAAAACUCAAAUGAAUUGACGGGGGCCCGCACAAGCGGUGGAGCAUGUGGUUUAAUUCGAUGCAACGCGAAGAACCUUACCUAGUCUUGACAUCCAGAGAACUUUCCAGAGAUGGAUUGGUGCCUUCGGGAACUCUGAGACAGGUGCUGCAUGGCUGUCGUCAGCUCGUGUCGUGAAAUGUUGGGUUAAGUCCCGCAACGAGCGCAACCCUUGUCCUUAGUUGCCAGCGCGUCGUGCUGGACAUCCUAAGGAGAUGGCCGUGAACAACUGGAAGAA
rnacentral:rRNA from 1 species